CUAGCUCUAGAGAGAAUCGAAUUAAUAAUAAUUUUUCUCCGCAUAGACGGCAAAGGGCCAUCGUAGUCUGGUAUUCUGCGUCUUCAAGAUUUUCUUCAGAAAGUGAUUCGAACCUUAUUUUUCUUGAUUUUUCUAUGUGCGGACACGUUGGGUCUACUCGAGAUUUCCGAGACGUGCAGAAGUCCUUAAAAAAGUUAUAAUCAACAGUCAUUUAAUCAAAUUUAUAUUUUUCUCUUUUUUUUUUUCCUAUUGGGAUGUACGUACUCUGUUUCAACCGUUUAUAACACGCAUUGUCCCCUUUCUACUGUUUACUGUUGCUCGCAUGCUUACUAAAUUGUGACCGUUAUGUUGUUUAAAGUUUUAAAAUACAUUAUAAAAGUGAGCCAGGCGAGCUGGCAGGCAAGUUUGAUUAUCAAAUUAAUUUUAUAUAAAGUAUAUUCUUCUGCAGUUACGUUAUAGAGCUC